rnacentral:misc_RNA from 1 species
CUUCUUCAUCAACACAACUGUCCCUCUAACCUUUUGUCCAUUGAUAUGAAUAUUGUUCUCAUCUAUAGUAUCAAUAUUAUUCUUGCCACAAACCACUCCAAGCCAUUUCUCCAACAUCUCUUACUUCCAAUUAGAGUAACUGUAGCAAUAUCAGUCUUCUUGACAAUAUGUAUAUGUUCACAACUUCUUGACCAAGAAUUUGGUAGUCAUCUACACCCAACUUGUACAAAUCUUAUACAAUUCACACAUGGAACUGUUGGG